rnacentral:rRNA from 1 species
UACGGAGGGUGCGAGCGUUGUCCGGAAUCACUGGGCGUAAAGGGCGCGUAGGCGGCUUUGUAAGUCGGGGGUGAAAGCCUGUGGCUCAACCACAGAAUUGCCUUCGAUACUGCAUGGCUUGAGACCGGAAGAGGUUAGUGGAACUGCGAGUGUAGAGGUGAAAUUCGUAGAUAUUCGCAAGAACACCAGUGGCGAAGGCGGCUGACUGGUCCGGUUCUGACGCUGAGGCGCGAAAGCGUGGGGAGCAAACAGG